AAGGCGUCCACGACCCUGGGGCUCGAGAUCUCCGGUCAAGGCGGCGCCUCUCUACCCUGGGGCUCGAGAUCUCCGGUCGAGGCGGCGCCUCUCUGUCCCAUUUCGCACCGCACGGUUGCAGAGCGAGGGCUCCCGAGCCGGAGGAGGCUCUGCAGGAACUCGCACAGAGAAGGGUAAGGGUGGCGGCGCGCCGCCUCGAGGAGGUCGCCCACAGCCGGCUGGGGCUCAAGAUCUCGUUCUCUGGCAGCAGCGGGAGUAGGGACUGGCUCCAAACCUCCCCCACCACCACGGCCACUGCUCAUGAGCGUCACAUCCCAACAUCAACGAGUUGCAGCAUACAAAGCAUAUGUCUCUGAUCUACUUUUCUUUCUCUUCGUAGGAGUAUCUCUGAUUUUGGAAGCUAAUGGACUAGAGCUAAAAUAAUCUGUCAGUGCUUGGGAUCCUACUCAGAUUAGUAUAAUGCAUGAAGAAUGACCUUGCCAAGAACUCUGCCAAGGUUCACACAUGAUUGACACCCAAGAUCAUGGUUUUAUGACCUUGUUAUGGCGGAUGAUCUUUCAUGUACUACUGUUUAUAGUAAUAUCUCUUGAAACUCAACUGAAGGGGAAGAUCUGAAGGUGAUGCUGUUCUUUUAUUUGGAUAUGUCAACGUAUACCGAUUCAUCAAAUUAAAGCAAGGUCGCUCGUUUUGUGCUGCGGAGGAGCGACAAGGGACAGGAAGGUAGGAUUUUGUUGCCAUUAUGCAGAUGCGCACUGACUUCUGAAACUCAUUAAUCUAGACACCUUGGUUCUGGAGCUUUUGUGAUGAAUGACAAAUGAGGUUUUGAUCGUUCGAUCAUGCUGGUAGUAGGCCAUUGCCCCUUCAAGCUAGCAAGAUGCUUGUUGUACGUCGAUGAAUAAGGCGUCCAUCCAAGAUACUAAGAUGAAAAUUGUUGUGCAAUCUCAAGGUAACGAAUGACUAACAAGACCAUCGUCUGCUGGUCAAAGAUUUAGACAUAGGACACAUAAUAUACCAUCUCUUAGGAUUCCGGUGAUCUCUAUCCAGGAUGCACUACACGUAUUUGAAAACUGAGAAUCAGGAACCUUGAUGAAAUUCAUCUCUGGAGUUUGCUUAAUUUGCUGAUGGUUCCAUGAACUUUCAAAGGACGGAGGUGCUUGGCUGGUUAUUUUUUGGUGAUGCCGGAGCCGCUAUUUCAGUAAACCAUUUGAUGUGCUAAAGAAUAAUAUGUAGAGAAGUCAUAUGUGUGAUGGGAAAAAAAUAGGCCAAUGAAGACUGCAAUGCUUCGUCUGCUCAAACCACAACCUCGGGGGAACCAGGAACUGAUUUUAGGCAGCCCGAUGGUCGUGGACCAUGAAAGAAGCUCAACCACGGGAUUACGAAGUUCAUGCCGCUCAAGAAGACCUUUGCGCUGCAAUCCAAGUUAGAACCGCGCAAUGGAGCAUUUGGGAAGAGCAGAACUCAUUUUCCAUUUCUCUAGCUCUGAAUUCAGGGUUCCAAAUCAAGGACUGCCCUCUUGUCCGUCGCAUGACGCGUCCAUUAUAGAUGCAAGUGGGGCAACAUUAGCCACUGCCGCGUUACUGUGCUAGAAGGAUAGCCUUAGUACAGUUACCUGAAAUUGGACUGAGGAUCGCUGCAGAGGCAAGGAUGCUUGGUCGAAGGGCUCUGAGGAGGACGUAGGAGGGUCAUCAAAGGGGUGGAAGGAGCCGGGAUGGGGUCAGAGGGAGUAGCCAAAGAAAGGUGGCGGGGCCGUCGAGGAUGUUUUCUCCAAUGCAUGCUGUUGGAAGCCGCUGGAGCUCAGCUUGGAUGGGCAGCCACUAUCCUCCCUUUACCAUAGCGGUGGAGGCGA